rnacentral:rRNA from 1 species
GUCGCAUCUAUUGAUUAGGUUGUAUCAUGAGUUGAGCGGAGAUGAGUAAAAGAUCUAUCUUUUAUUUGUUGA